GGUUUUACGAGAUAGGGUUUCUCUGUGUAGCCCUGGUGGCUGUCCUGGAACUCACUUUGUAGACCAGGCUGGCCUCAGAAAUCCGCCUGCCUCUGCCUCCCAAGUGCUGGGAUUAAAGGCGUGCACAACCACGCCUGGCUCUGCUUGUGGGUUUUCUAGUCUUAUUUUAUGUGCAUCCAUUUCUUUUCCAUGUAUGUAUAUGUACCACAUGCAUGCUGGUGCCCACAGAGGUCAGAAGAGAGCAUUGGAGCCACUGGAAUUGGAGUUAUAGACAAUUGUGAUGCACUGUGUGGGUGCUGAGACUUGAACCUGGAUCUUCUGCAAAAGCAGCCAACGUUGUUAACUAAGGAGGCCUGGUGCCAGGCACAGGAAAAAAUAUUUAGUUGCUCAGCUUCUCAGUCUCGCACACACAAAUUAUGAGAGAAAAACACAUUUCUAAUAUAAGUUCACACAGCCUUUCUUCCUGUAUAUGAGGUUUUAGGACACACGCCACUGUUGUUUUGUAUUUAGAAACAGUGCCACCACAGUCCCCCAGGCUGGCCUCCUGAGUGCUGGGUGACAGGAUGUGCUACCACACCUGACCAAUAACUAACAGUACAGUAGCAGGACAAUACAGCCACAGUUACUGACAAUCCUGAUAAAGGAGGGGAGGUUUUCUUUUGGUUGUUAUUUCUCCUUUACUGUGUGAUAUUUUGAUACAUGGAUUUAAAUAACGAUCAGGUCAGAGUAACUGGGAUAUCCAUUGUUUCAAACAGUUACCAUUUCUCUUUAUAAGAGCUAGCCUGUCACAUGCCAGGCUCCCUGGCCCUGACCUCUGACUCCCCCACCUCAGCUUCCCCACUGCUAAGACCAGCAGCAACAACACUUGCCUGACUGUACUCUUUACUUCUGAGAGGACCAGUCUCAGAAAGUAGAAUUCCUCACUGGGAUCGCCACUGGUUAGCAGUGUUUUGCUUGCCUUUUCAUUGGGUGUUUUGAUUUGAGACAGGGUCUCCCCACAUAGCCCAGGCUGGCCCAGGACUGGCAAAUCUUCCUACUUCAGGCUCCCUGUGCUAGGAUUACAGGCACGAUCCACCACACCCAAGCUGUGCAUUUUGAACUAAAAAUACCUGGUCAGUCUAGAGCCAGCCAAUCCAAGAGCCAGCUUUAACGGGGUGUCAUCCUGCAAUAGCAAUGGAGGGGGACUAGCACCGCACUGUCCACCCAACAUGUCUGAGCUUACAUAGCAUGAUCAGAGCACCUGGCUCCCACUCUGCUACAUACAGCAGACAGACAGACAGACAGACAGAGAUGCCUUUCACACUCAAAACAUCAGGGACAUUCUGAAACCUGAAGUCACACCAGGACUUUCUAGCUUCCCUCAUCCCAGGAAGUCCUAUAUACAGGUGUCGCAGACCUUUAAGAUAAAUGUCACUUUCAGAUCUAGAAAUGGCUCCUGGCCAAGGCAAGCCGACUUUGACCAGCCACAUGCGGGAGCAGCCGCUCUCAGGCGCAAGUCCAGAAUGCUUACAGCUGAGCAGAUGAUCACUCUCUGAGCAUGCCCAACCCAUACAGACACACACACACCACACAUGCACACACCCACAGCGCCCACACAUCACCGCUGCACUCCAGACCUGAUAACGACUGCUAGCCAACCCUUGCAGGAUUACCCUGGGGAAUACACACUUAGGCCACAAAGGUUUAUGUAGGUUAAGUUAGCUAGUCUCUAGGCAACCCAUACUGCCCCCCACCCCCACCUCCAUAUACAGAGAUAGAGAAGGUCGGCUAGGCAAGGUAUAAUGUCUUUAAUCUCAGAAUUAGGAGGGCAGAGGCAAGCAGAUCUCUAUGAGUCUGAGGUCAGUAUGGUCUACACAGGCCAGUUCCAGGACAGCCAGGGUUACAUAGUUAGACCCUGCUAGGAGAGACGGAGAGAAGAGAAGGGAAACAAGGGGGUAUGUGUAUGGUGUGGUUCUGUGCUCUAAUACGGACCCGGGAUGUGCUUUACAUUUUUAUACUGCACAUAAACUGUGUGCGGGGAGGGAAGUAGGCUGUAGCUCGGUUGGCAGCGCGCUCUCCUAGCACCUAAAGCCUCGAGUUUGACAACCCCCACCCAACGCCCCCAGCACCACCUAACAGGUUGUGGUGGUGCACACGUACGACCCCAGACCUUGGGGGAUGAAAAGAGCAUGCUCGUUCUGAGAAGAGCUGAGGGAAAUUCAGGUCUCAGCAGAGAGAGCAGGGUCAGCAACCACACAGGUCAUCCCCACCUGAGGCUGCAACACAAAGUCCUGCCUUUAGGGAGAGCAACAGGGCCAGAUUCCUAAACACACACACACACACGGACAAAAGGCACGUCAAGGCUAGCAUCUGCUUACCUGGCAGAAAGACUUCAUCUUGUCCAGAACCCUGUUCACCUCCGGCAUCACAUCUUUGCCGUCCACCUUGAUGGGUGUGUUGGACCGGUUCCGAAGGGCCACAUGCAGCACCGCCCGAUCCUAGAAAUGAAAGAGACAAUGAGGAGCACGGUAGACCCUAGAGCUAGACUGGUCCUAGUUGGGGAAGGUCCAGUGUAAGGCAGUCCUCUGCACAGGACAAACAGGUCCAGGCAUCCAUUAACAUCACCGUCUUGUAUAGAGGGCCUGGGAGGGAAAGCCAUUCUGGGACUCUGAGGAUAGGCAAUCCUGUGCCUCCCCCCUUCCCCCUUGUAUGCUGUGAACAUACAGAAGCAGAUACAGAAGGACCUGAACAACCCCUAAGGGCCUGAAGGACCCAGGGCAUGAAAGGCCUGACUGAGGGUGAGCAAUGUACAGUGGUGACGAUACAGAUCAGAGAUGAGCAGCAAGCUCCUUCAGUCAUAAACUCAGCCCUCCUGAGGAGAGCGCUUCUUGUUUCUGGCACCUUCUAAAAAUGUCACAAGGCCUCAGGAUGUGAAGCAAGACAGGGAACAGAAGGCUCCCCUCACCAAACAGUCUCACCACUGCCACAAACUAAACCAGAACAGAGGUCUUCAACAGGUGCCAAGCAGCUCACCUGGCCACAAGGGCAAGAGAGCCCAGGCAGCUAAAGACAAUAGCAAUGGGAAGGAAGCAGGUGCAAAGGUCCCAGAUGGUCAGGAAAGCGACUUCAAUCUAGACAGAGGUUCCUGUGUGUGGGAGGGUCUGAGGGUAGCCCACCUACCCUAUCUAUCUAGUCUCACCCUUCCCAUGUUCCUCAAACAAAUGCACAUCCCCCCACUCAAAGGAAGCCCCCCUCGACUGUGGCCUCCCUCAUAUCACACAAGCCCAGCCGUGCAAGAUCAGCUGCUUCCCAUUGCACCUCUGACCUCCAAGCCUUAGAUUCCUCACAUGUAAAAAGACUCAGGGCUGAAGAGAUGGCUCAGCAGUUAAGAGCACAUACUUGCCAGGUGGUGGCACACACCUUUAGUCCCAGCACUCGGGAGGCAGAGGCAAGAGGCUCUCUUAUGAGUUCGAGGCCAGCCUGGUCAGGGCUACACAGAGAAACCCUGUCUCAAAACCCAACCAACCAACCAAAAUACUCCUCUUCUAAAAAGCCGGAGUUGGAUUCCCAGUACACACACUGGGUGGCUCCCAACCAUCUCUAACUGAAGUUCCGGGAGAAUCUGACAGCUCUGUAGGCACCUGUACUUAUGUACACACACCCACACACUCAUAAUUAAAAGGAAAAAAAUAUCAACACUGAGAAUUCUCAGUGCGGAGUGUCUCCUAUGCCUGCAGGCUUCCCCACCAAGUCAGGGCCAGGGUUUCCCAACCCCUGUCAUACUCUCACCUCUUAUUCAUUCCACUGUCAAAGAAACUAAGGGCUUUGGUGACAUGAUUUUUCUUGUCACUAGAACAACCUGUAGCAAGGAUCCAUCAGAGUAUCAAGGUUGAAGUUGUCCAAGAAAAUGUCUCAGCCAUGUCUCAGCCAGCCUUAAGCAAAUCCCUCCCUUCAGGCUUGGGUUGUGCCCCUCCCUGGACACCAGGAACUGUGCCAAUUUGCUUGCCAAGUCCAGGCUGCCAGUCUCAGAGAAAUCACACCCCAAAGCUCUGCAACCUCCCUUGCCCCCAAAGAAAAGCCUUUAGCACCUUCGUGAGGCAAAAGCAUUGCUUAAGAGCAAGGGUGAAGACACAGGGCGAUGCUGAUAACGGUCGGCAAAGAGGAGGAAGAGGAGGGCUGACAGAUGUUCUUCAUAGACAGAUUCCUUUUCCAGCAUCUUCAAAGAGUCUGCUCAAUCAGCAGGGGGCCUGGAGAUCCCUGGGAUACCAACUCCACACCGGGACCUAGAACCCAAAACAAAGCGCAGCCCCCACCCACAACCCAACCCAGAGAUCACAACUCCCCAGUCAGAACAUUACCAGCUCCACCAGCAUCUGCAUCACCUCCUUGUUCACAAGGUUCUUGGAGUAGUCCACCAGAAUAUGCCCAUGGUUGGUGUUGAGGUUCAAGCUGCAGAAAGAUGGAGACGCUGCUGGUCACACCCCAGCGGCAGUGCCUGGCCACAAAGGCUGACCUGUAGCAGUGUUAAGUAGUGUAGGAAGCCACGCCACAGAAAGAAGAUGUAGACAGAUCCUGGGCAGAACUUCCCCCUUCAAGCUCCACAUCUCAAACUUACAAGGAAACACCCAGGGAGAGGUAUCAGGGACGUCCAGUGAGGAACCACAGGUGGUCAUCCCAGGUCCCUCGCCUCCUGGCAUCAGUGACAAGGCACGAAGAUGCAUCACAUGUACGAUUUCUUCCACCCUCCCUUCUAUUUCGCAGUCGCUCACAAGUCUCUCUGGCCUCUGCAUCCUGCCUCCGCCGCUCUAUUUUUACACCGUGGCUCCCAGGAAAUCUCAGCCUUACCCACCCUGUCUGACCAAAGCCCACUAGGAGCAGGUGGGAGGGGACAGCUCUCUCGUGCCUGUCGAGCCAGCAGCGGCUGCUCCUCCUCAUGGGUGGUUAGAAAUCCCUACUCAAAUGGCUGAGACUGAGAGGCGGGGGCGAAGGGAUCCCCAAGGAGGAGCCGAUUCCUCCUAAUGACUAAGCAGCCUCGGCCCUCUGGCUAGCACGCGGGUCCCAAAACCCACUCCAAGGAGGCAUCAAGGACAAAGUGCGGCCCCGGCCUGGGCCCUGCAGGGCUGCUGGGGGGGGGGUCACGGGAGCCCCGACCCCGUGCGUGCACCUGAAGUUGUUGAAGCGCUCCGGAUCCGCCUCAAAAAGUUCGCGCAGCUUGAGGUUGGCAGAGUUCGCGCGGUGCCACUCCAGGAGCUUCUGGAACUGCGGGUUCCGGGUGAGCGCAGCCAUGGCGAGGGACCCGAGAGGUACAC
ensembl:lincRNA Gm26762 predicted gene, 26762